AGUUUGAUCAUGGCUCACAAUGAACGCUGGCGGCAGGCCUAACACAUGCAAGUCGAACGGAGUUAUAUUGUAGCUUGCUAUGGUAUAACUUAGUGGCAGACGGGUGAGUAAUGUAUAGGAAUCUACCUUGUUUUACGGAGUAGUUGUUGGACACCGAAACUAAUACCGUUUACGCCCUACGGGGGAAAAAUUAUUUGCAAUUAGAU
rnacentral:rRNA from 1 species